UACGUAGGCAGCGAGCGUUGUUCGGAGUUACUGGCGUAAAGCGUGCGUAGGCGGUGUCUUAAGUUUGUUGUGAAAUCUCCCGGCUUAACCGGGAGGGUGCGGCGAAUACUGAGAUGCUGGAGUGCCGGAGAGGUAAGCGGAAUUCCUGGUGUAGCGGUGAAAUGCGUAGAUAUCAGGAGGAACACCUGCGGUGUAGACGGCUUACUGGACGGUAACUGACGCUGAGGCACGAAAGCGUGGGUAGCAAACAGG
rnacentral:rRNA from 1 species